UGGGGAAUUUUGCGCAAUGGGGGAAACCCUGACGCAGCAACGCCGCGUGCGGGACGAAGGCCUUCGGGUUGUAAACCGCUUUCAGCAGGGAAGACCAUGACGGUACCUGCAGAAGAAGCCCCGGCUAACUACGUGCCAGCAGCCGCGGUAAUACGUAGGGGGCGAGCGUUAUCCGGAUUCAUUGGGCGUAAAGCGCGCGCAGGCGGCCGAUCAAGCGGAACCUCUAAUCCCGGGGCUCAACCCCGCGGCCGGGUUCCGAACUGGUCGGCUCGAGUUCGGUAGAGGAGGGUGGAAUUCCCGGUGUAGCGGUGGAAUGCGCAGAUAUCGGGAAGAACACCGAUGGCGAAGGCAGCCCUCUGGGCCGACACUGACGCUGAGGCGCGAAAGCUGGGGGAGCGAACA
rnacentral:rRNA from 1 species